UUUAAUUAUCAUAUAUAAAAGUGAAAUAUAAAAUAUAAAUUAAUUUUAGUUGGGGCAACUGGGAGGGAUAAAAAUCUUUUAUUAAAUCAUUUAUAAUAAUAUUUAUAUUUAUGAUCCAAAUUAGUUAAUUUUGAACUUAGAAU
rnacentral:rRNA from 1 species